rnacentral:rRNA from 1 species
GGAUGAACGCUAGCGGCAGGCCUAACACAUGCAAGUCGAGGGAGGAGCYUUCGGGCUUCGACCGGCGUACGGGUGCGUAACGCGUAUACAAUCUGCCUUUCACAUAGGGAUAGCCCGAAGAAAUUUGGAUUAAUACCUAAUGGUAUAUAGGAGUGGCAUCACAUUUAUAUUAAAGCUGAGGCGGUGAAAGAUGAGUAUGCGUUCUAUUAGCUAGUUGGAGAGGUAACGGCUCCCCAAGGCUACGAUAGAUAGGGGUUCUGAGAGGGAUAUCCCCCACACUGGUACUGAGAUACGGACCAGACUCCUACGGGAGGCAGCAGUGAGGAAUAUUGGACAAUGGUCGGAAGACUGAUCCAGCCAUGCCGCGUGCAGGAAGACGGCCUUAUGGGUUGUAAACUGCUUUUGCAGGGGAAGAAUAAGGAGUACGYGUACUUUGAUGACGGUACUCUGCGAAUAAGCAUCGGCUAACUCCGU